GACGGAGGAUGCAAGCGUUAUCCGGAAUGAUUGGGCGUAAAGCGUCUGUAGGUGGUUUAUUAAGUCUACUGUUAAAGAUCAGGGCUUAACCCUGAGCAGGCAAUAGAAACUAAUAAGCUAGAGUACGGUAGGGGCAGAGGGAAUUCCCGGUGUAGCGGUGAAAUGCGUAGAGAUCGGGAAGAACACCAACGGCGAAAGCACUCUGCUGGGCCGAAACUGACACUGAGAGACGAAAGCUAGGGGAGCAAAUGGG
rnacentral:rRNA from 1 species